GACGAACGCUGGCGGCGUGCUUAACACAUGCAAGUCGAACGAUGAACCCGGAGCUUGCUCUGGGGGAUUAGUGGCGAACGGGUGAGUAACACGUGAGUAACCUGCCCUGGACUCUGGGAUAAGCGUUGGAAACGACGUCUAAUACCGGAUAGGACCUUGGAUCGCAUGAUCUGGGGUGGAAAGUUUUUUCGGUCUGGGAUGGACUCGCGGCCUAUCAGCUUGUUGGUGAGGUAAUGGCUCACCAAGGCGUCGACGGGUAGCCGGCAUGCGAGGGUGACGAGCCACACUGGGAAUGAGACACGGGCCAGACGCCUACGAGAGGCAGCAGUGGGGAAUAUUGCACAAUGGGCGAAAGCCGGGUGCAGCAACGCCGCGUGCGGGAUGACGGCCAUCGAGUUGUAAACCGUUUUUAGUAGGGAAGAAGGGCUUCGGCUUGACGGUACCUGCAGAAAAAGGACCGGCUAACUACGUG
rnacentral:rRNA from 1 species